ensembl:lncRNA
CCCCAUUGUAACACACUUCUUCCCACAAGGCCACACCUACUCCAAGGCCACACCUCCUAAUAAGGCUACUCCUUAUGGGCCAAGCAUUCAAACACAGGAGUCUGUGGGAGCCAGACCUAUUCAAACCACCAUUCCCUCCUUGCAGUGGGACGUGGACAGAAUGUUACCAACAGAACAUCCGGGUGGAACGGUCAAGUGUUCUGAAGAAGCAGCACAUCAUAAACUGUGAAGUGAAGUCAUAAACUGGUGGUUUUCAACCUUCCUAACGUGGUGACUCUUUAAAACAGCUCCUCAUGCUGUGGUGAGCCCCAACCAUAAAAUUAUUGCCUAUUGUUACUCCAUAACUGUCAUUGUGCUGCUGUGAUGAAUCAUAAUGUACAUAUAUGGUAUGCAAGAUAGCAUGCCAUCCCUGGGAAAGGGUUGUUUGACCCCCAAAGAAGUAUUAACCCACAGGUUGAGAACCACUGCUAUAGACCAAAUAAAAACCUGUGCUUCUGUUGGGAGUUAAUCCCAAUGCACCAGUUAGAGUCCUAAGCCCAACAUACGCAGGGGUAAAGAACAGUCUUGUCAGCACUGGUCGCUUUUGCCUCUCUACAGAGACUUCAGUCAGGCACCACGUCCUCCUGACUUAGCAGAGGACUGAUUCCCAGCACCACUGGGAUCUAAGAAGGAGUCGAUGUCCUCUAAGCCUCCGUAGCUCUAGUUUAAAGCUCCCCGAGAUGAAGCACUAGCUCUGAAUUCCACUCCUUCCCUUCCCUAGGUUUACCCUAUGUCUCUUCUCUGCCCCUGCAUCUGGGACACUUGGUCCACGCAUAGCCUGAUACUGCCAGAGAAUCCAGAGGUGCUGGUGUCAUUCAAGCUAAGAACAGCGGAUCCAAGAAACAGCGGGACAUCCUGCUUAAGAUCUCCAUGGGCAAAAGAAGGAUGCGCUCUCUGUACCUGCGAGCAGCUUGUACAGUAUGCUCAGAAGAAACACGAUAAUAGCCAACAGAUGGCCUCUUCCUGGCACUUUCUUAUCAAGAGCCUUUGACUCUGCAGCUUUCCAGAGCAGAGAGUGAAGCUGAUGUUUAUGCCUAGGAGCCCGAUUGAUACACUGCACAAGGGUGAGCUAAUCGGUGAUUGUUACCUCUCUCAAUGGGCCCAUCUGCUUCCCUGAAAUUUAUCUCACCUGGAGCAGCAAGUCAAAAGACGGUCUGUCGCUGAAACAGUGUUCGCUGAGCCGUGGGCUUUAGCUCUGAAGAACCACACGACAGAGCCAUCUGCCUGGCUUGGAAUCCUGUUUCUGCUAUGCUACCUGUGUGAUCUCAGGAAAGUUCACUGAUCUCCACCCGCCUGUCUUCUCAUCUGCAAUAUGGGCAUUAAAAACAGUAACUCAGGCUGUGGGGAAUGCUCUGUCAGUAGGGUGCCUACCACACAAGCUGAGGGCUUGAGCUCAAGUCCACAGUACCUGUGUAAAAGAUUUUGUGUUGUGAUCUGUAGCCCCAAUAAUACUAGGUAAGGGGAGCAGAAACAGGCAGGUCCCUAAAACUCGUUGGCCAGCUAGCCUAGCCAGAUCAAUGAGUCCCAAAUCCAAUGAGAGACUCAGACUCAAAACAG